UUUAUAGCUUUUUGCCUAGCGUGCUCC
rnacentral:sRNA from 1 species